GGCAAGUAUAUAAAGAAAUUAUUAUGGAUAAUUAGCUAUAUAUUAAAGAAUAUCUAGUAAAUCUAGAUUCUAAGAGAAAUCUUAUAAUAAACAAAGUGAAUUGAAAUAUCUCAGUAACUUUAGGAAAAGAAAUCAAACGAGAUUAUUAUUUGGUGUAAACUAAAUAAUAAAAGCCUAAUAACAAAACUUGUUAAAGUAAAAUGGAUUAAAAUCUGUUUGAAUAAAGGGGAACCUUCCUCUAAGGCUAAAUAUGAUAUAUAAGCAAUAGUGAAAAGUACCGUGAGGUAAAAUUUGAAAUAGUAGUUUUAUAAGCAGCUCGAGUGAAAUUUAAAUAAAAAAUAAGAGCGUACCUUUUGCAUAAUGGGUCAGCAAGUUAAUUUUAGAUGCAAGCAAAG
rnacentral:ncRNA from 1 species